CUCUGAAACACCGGUUUCCAUACGAUCACCGAAGUUAAGCAAUGUUCGGCCUGGUCGAUGGCUAGAUGGGUGACCACUUGAGAAUACAAGGUAC